rnacentral:lncRNA from 1 species
CCCUGGGAUCAGAGCCUGAUGUUCCCUCCUGAUCCCUCUUUUUUUUCCAGGACCAACAUUCCCAGACCCCUCAGAAGCUCCUGGAGCUCCAAACCCUUCCCUGUCCCUCAUGGAGACCCAGAAGGUCCCUCCUGAUCCCUCUUUUCUCCAGGAUGAACAUUCCUGGUCCAAACCCUUCCCUGUCCCUCAUGGAGACCCACAGAAGGUCCCUCCUGAUCCCUCUUUUCUCCAGGAUGAAUAUUCCCGGUCCAAACAUUUCCCUGUCCCUUAUGGUGAUCCAGAUGGUCCCUCCUGAUCCUGCUUUUCUCCAGGAUGAACAUUCCCAGUCCCUCAGCACUCCAAACCUCUCCCUGUCCCUCACGGAGACCCAGAAGGUCCCUCCUGAUCCCGCUUUUCUCCAGGAUGAACAUUCCCAGUCCCUCAGCCACUCCUGGAGCUCCAAACAUUUCCUGUCCCUCAUGGAGACCCAGAAGGUCCCUCCUGAUCCCACUUUUCUCCAGGAUGAACAUUCCCAGUCCCUCAGCCAUUCCUGGAGCUCCAAACCCUUCCCUGUUCUUCACGGAGACCCAGAAGGUCCCUCCCGAUCCCUCUUUUCUCCAGGACCAACAUUCCCAGUCCCUCAGCCACCCCAAACCCUUCCCUGUCCCUCACGGAGACCCAGAAGGUCCCUCCCGAUCCCGCUUUUCUCCAGGAUGAACAUUCCCAGUCCCUCAGCCACCCCAAACCCUUCCCUGUCCCUCAUGGAGACCCAGAAGGUCCCUCCCGAUCCCUCUUUUCUCCAGGACCAACAUUCCCAGGCCCUCAGCAGCCCCUGGAGCUCCAAACCCCUCCCUGGCCACGGAGGCGGCACAGAGGGACAAUCCCGAGCCCACGGAUGGGGCGGGAGGAUCCCCCGGGAAGGGGGGAGGUGCCAGCCCCUCACCACUUCAUCAGGAACAUCAGCUCCCCGCUGGAAUCCGUGGCUCCGAUGAUCCGCUCCGGCUCGAAGCCUCGGGCGAAGCCUCGCGGUUUCUCCGACUGGGAAAAGGGGGGGAAAAAAAGGGAGAAAAUUCCAUUUGUGAAUUCCCAGAGCGAAUUCCCGGCUCUGGGAUGGGCAGGGAGUUCCAGGGAUGUGGGGAUGUUCCCAGGGCUCCAGGAGAGCUGGGAAUGUUCAGCUGGAGAAGGGAAGGAUCCAGG